AAUUUAUAGUGGUUUGUUGGUUUGGGGUUGGUUUUCAGAAGUGACCUGGAAACUCAGUGGGUCAGGUUCCAAUGGCACAGACGUGACCCCAGCGUGCGUGGCUGGAAGUGAGCAGGCCCUGGACAUUGAGCUGGUCAAACAAACGGGCUCAGCUGGAUGUUGGGAAUGAAGGACAUCCCUGAACUUGGGUGAGAUCAAAGGAAAUGUCGACCAUGAUCUUCCAGGGAGUGCUGCACUUUCCCAACCGCUUAGGAAAUGAGUGGAAUUCCCUCCAGGAUGAACCAGGCUGGGAAUCGAGAUAGGAGUGAAACAACCCAUAUUUGAAAUUACUGCUGUAAAACAUCCCUGCCUGGAAUUUCAGUUUGGUCCAACGAGCAGGAAGGUGAUUCAGCUCUUUGCUUAUUGGACUUUGUCAGCUUUCCAUGGCUGAAGCAGAAUCUGAUGGAAGGACACAGCUCCCUGUCACUUGCAAAGCAGGGAUGGAUUUCUGAAAGGAACUGUCCUGCGCUGGGAAACGUCUCUGAGAAGCCCCUGGGAUCUGCUGGGUGUUCCUGGAGAAGGGACACGAGGGGACUGUCCCUCCCUGGCCACCGCAGGGCUGUCUCCCAGAAGAUGGAGCUCUUUCCCCAGCACUGCUGAUGGAGACCUUGUCUGUAUCACAGGCCCAUAAGGCUGGGACAGCUGGGACAUAGGAAUGCUCCUUGUGAAGCACUUGGAAACAUGCAGUUGAGCCCUCAAAACCUCUGAUGGAUUUUUUAGACGUGUUUCAGUGGCAGCAGAGUGGCCUGGCAGGAAGGUUCCAGAGCUCAGACCCUGUUGUCCUGAACUGGGACUAAAGCACUAUUUAGCAUUGCUUUGCGAAGACUAAAUCCCCGGUUUGAACAGCACAGGACUGGGCCAAAGCAGCUCCAUCGAACACCCGGCGGGAGAGAGAGCAGGGAAUGAACCUCGGGCACAGCCCAGGGACACGGGAGAGAGGGGGAUAAAGGCAGGGUGGUGGGGGUGUGAAAUAAAGACAAUUUGGGGGAGUGAAAUAAAGACAUUUUGGGGGGGGGGUGAAAUGAA